CCUACGGGUGGCAGCAGUGGGGAAUGUUGGGCAAUGGGCGCAAGUCUGACCCAGCAACGCCGCGUGAAGGAAGAAGGCUUUCGGGUUGUAAACUUCUUUUAAGGGGGAAGAGGAGAAGACGGUACCCCUUGAAUAAGCCACGGCUAACUACGUGCCAGCAGCCGCGGUAAUACGUAGGUGGCAAGCGUUGUCCGGAUUUACUGGGGGUAAAGGGCGUGCAGCCGGGAGGACAAGUCAGAUGUGAAAUCCCGCGGCUCAACCGCGGAACUGCAUUUGAAACUGUUUUUCUUGAGUACCGGAGAGGUCAUCGGAAUGCCUUGUGUAGCGGUGAAAUGCGUAGAUAUAAGGAAGAACACCAGUGGCGAAGGCGGAUGACUGGACGGCAACUGACGGUGAGGCGCGAAAGCGUGGGGAGCAAACAGGAUUAGAUACCCUAGUAGUU
rnacentral:rRNA from 1 species